GCGCCCGUGGCCUAAUGGAUAAGGCAUCUGACUUCUAAUCAGGCGAUUCUGGGUUCGAGUCCCACCGGGCGUG